AAUGGAUUCUUAAACUCAAAACUAAUAUUAUAUAUCAUUUUCGAGUUUACGUUUCAAAAACUACAAAUAAUGAAUAAACUGAAUCGAACAUUGAACUGCGUAACUAAUUCAAGAUAAUAUCAAAAAGUAUGUUGAAUUUGCCCAUAGAACAAAAAACUAUCUAUACAAGAACUAACUUCACCAUCAACCUUCAGAAUACAUUAUCGACCAAUAACUUCAUUCUUCAAAAACUUGAAAAACGGGUACAACUUCAUUCUGCAUAAACAAUACAUAUAAAAUAUUAAAUUCAAUGUGAAAGGUAUACUCAAACUAACUUGAAGAAGCUAUAAAAUUAAAGACAUUUAGACGUUAACUGGAUAUCAAAUUUUUAACUAAAAAGAGAAGAAGAACAAACACUUUGUUAAGGUGAAACUGACCAAAACAUGGUCAAUAGAUCAUACAAAAAUUGUCAAAGAUGCAAAGAGAUGAAGAACUCAAUUGCCAUAAAAGCCCAGAGAAAGUCCUCUCAGGAUCAUAAGUUAGAACAUAUAAAUAAACACGAGUUAAUAUAAAAUACGUAAAACACUUUUGAAAAAGGCAGCAAGUCCAUAAAAAGGACUGUUGAGUUUGUACAUGAACAAAAUUAAACUAGAAACCCCUUGCAUCUAAAAAGUUCCAACACAACGUUGAAAUCCCAUUUUAUAAGAAUCGCCUCCUAACGUCCAUACAAAAAUUCGAUAACAUAUGAGGCAGCUUGCUAAUCUAUGUAUUCAUUUCAAUUUUCAACAUGCAACUACAAUUCAAACUAAGAGUUUUAUUUAAUUUGCAGCAUUGAAGAAAGGCAGGUUUACAUAACUCAUUUUAUUUUGCUGUAAAAAUUAUUACUGAGUGUUAUAAUCGUAAAAAUGAGAAAUAUAUACCUCUUCUGGCAUUUCAAGAU
rnacentral:lncRNA from 1 species